rnacentral:rRNA from 1 species
GAUGAACGCUGGCGGCGUGCCUAAUACAUGCAAGUCGAGCGAACAGACGAGGAGCUUGCUCCUUUGACGUUAGCGGCGGACGGGUGAGUAACACGUGGGUAACCUACCUAUAAGACUGGGAUAACUUCGGGAAACCGGAGCUAAUACCGGAUAAUAUUUCGAACCGCAUGGUUCGAUAGUGAAAGAUAGCUUUGCUAUCACUUAUAGAUGGACCGGCGCCGUAUUAGCUAGUUGGUAAGGUAACGGCCUACCAAGGCGACGAUACGUAGCCGACCUGAGAGGGUGAUCGGCCACACUGGAACUGAGACACGGUCCAGACUCCUACGGGAGGCAGCAGUAGGGAAUAUUCCGCAAUGGGCGAAAGCCUGACGCAGCAACGCCGCGUGGGUGAAGAAGGUCUUCGGAUCGUAAAACUCUGUUAUUAGGGAAGAAAAAACGUGGAAGUAACUGUGCACGUCUUGACGGUACCUAAUCAGAAAGCCACGGCUAACUUCGUG